GUAUGUAUGUAUGUAUGUAUGUAUGUAUGGGGUAAUGAUGCCAUGAAUUACAUAAUUCAUGCCGGUCCCAAGCCCGGAGAAAGUCAGAGGGACCC
rnacentral:ribozyme from 1 species